UACGGAGGGUGCAAGCGUUAUCCGGAUUCACUGGGUUUAAAGGGUGCGUAGGUGGGUUAGUAAGUCAGUGGUGAAAUCUCCGAGCUUAACUUGGAAACUGCCAUUGAUACUAUCAGUCUUGAAUAUUGUGGAGGUUAGCGGAAUAUGUCAUGUAGCGGUGAAAUGCUUAGAUAUGACAUAGAACACCAAUUGCGAAGGCAGCUGGCUACGCAUAUAUUGACACUGAUGCACGAAAGCGUGGGGAUCAAACAGG
rnacentral:rRNA from 1 species